AGUUUGGUAAAGACUUAGUAAACAAAUCAGCAAGGUUGUCACAUGAUUUGACUUGCAGAAUGCUUAUUUCCCCGCUUUUCUGAAGAUUGUGGGGGAAAACCGUUUAGGAGAAAUAUGCUUAGUGAUAUUGCUCUUGAUAUAUCAUGUCUGCAUCUGUGCAACACAUGCCGCAUUAUCCUCAUAGAUAAUGGUGGGUGAUUCAAUAGAACCAAUUCCACAUGACUGUUGUAUGUGGUUUAUCAUUCUGCGAAGCCAUACAC
rnacentral:lncRNA from 1 species